CGCCUUUUUGCUAUAUGCAGAAUUUGAAGAUUCGAACCUGCCGCAGGUUCGGGUCAAGCGCAGCGAGACAACGGAGCCGUUUACGGCGACGGCCCGAAGGGCGAGCGAUAGCGAGUCAUCCUGCACGACCCACCA
rnacentral:sRNA from 1 species